UUAUAAGCGAUAAAGAAAAAAUCAUUAUAUGCAAACGAGGAAAAUUAUGGAUUCACUUCACAUGCUCAUUUAUGCUUUUAUCAUCUUUCUUUCUAUACCUCUUCCUCCUACUAGAAAAACCAUUCCAUGCAAAACUAAAGUUGAUUGUCCACAACAAAUAUAUUAUGUCGUUGAAUGCCUUGAUGGUUUUUGUGACUAUUGGAGAGACUAAAAAAUUCUGUUUAAAAAUGAUUAUGUUAACUCUAAGUGUAUAGUUUUAUUUAUAUGUAAUAAUGUUCAUAAUAAUGUUUCUACUUUUAUAAUUUACUUUAAAAUUUGUUUAUUAUUCUAUGGAUGAAACAUGUAUUAUUAUUUUUAUUAUUAUUA